rnacentral:snRNA from 1 species
UUGCUUGGGUAGCACACAUUCUAUAAUUGGAACAAUACAGAGAAAAUUAGCAUGGCCCCUGUACUAAUUGGGGUUCUCUAGAGGAACAGAAUCAACUG